CACGGCUAUUCCUGGAGCUCCCAGCCAUCACCAGCACACUCUCUCUCCAGCAGCAGUUCCUCUUCUCACUGCCAAUGGGAAUUUUUUUGCUGUCUUAAACAAACGAACCGCUUCUUCUGACGUUUGGGGUUCCUUCUGUACAAGGCUGUUGAGGCAGAGUGGUUGGCAGCCCUGCAGAGCGGGAUGAUCCAGCCCUACAGCACUGAGAAGAGAGAGGUCUGCAGCUUUGUAUGCACUGUGCUGUGCCUGCUUCCAGAGCAUGUUGUAGCUGUGUCCUCUAUGCAGUGAUGCAGAAAGAUGGGCUUUCUGGCAGAGAACAGCCAGUAGAGCUGUUGAAUCCACCUAGAGUGAACCACAUGCCCAGCUCUGUUGAUGUGAGCACAGCACUGCCCUUGCAAGUUGCCCCAACCUCAGUCCCGAUGGAUCUGCGCCUGGACCACCAGUUCCCCAUGCCUGUGACAGAGCCAACGCUCCGUGAGCAGCAGCUGCAGCAGGAGCUCCUGGCGCUGAAGCAGAAGCAGCAGAUCCAGAGGCAGAUCCUCAUUGCUGAGUUCCAGCGGCAGCAUGAGCAGCUCUCCAGGCAGCACGAGGCCCAGCUGCAUGAGCACAUCAAGCAGCAGCAGGAGAUGCUGGCAAUGAAGCAUCAGCAGGAGCUUCUGGAGCACCAGAGGAAGCUGGAGCAGCACCGGCAGGAGCAGGAGCUGGAGAAGCAGCACCGGGAGCAGAAACUUCAACAGCUGAAAAACAAAGAGAAAGGAAAGGAGAGCGCAGUGGCAAGCACAGAAGUAAAGAUGAAAUUACAAGAAUUUGUUUUAAAUAAGAAGAAGGCUUUGGCACACCGGAAUCUCAACCACUGCAUUUCCAGUGACCCUCGCUUCUGGUAUGGGAAGACACAGCACAGCUCCUUGGACCAGAGCUCCCCACCUCAAAGUGGCGUAUCUGGCACCUACAAUCACCCUGUCCUGGGGAUGUACGAUUCCAAAGAUGACUUCCCACUCAGAAAAACAGCAUCUGAACCCAACCUGAAAUUACGAUCCAGACUAAAGCAAAAAGUUGCUGAACGACGGAGCAGCCCCCUGUUGCGCAGGAAGGAUGGCCCAGUGGUCACUGCUCUGAAGAAGCGCCCGCUGGAUGUCACAGACUCUGCAUGCAACAGUGCUCCUGGAUCUGGUCCCAGCUCUCCAAACAACAGUUCCAAUAACAUCAGCGCUGAGAAUGGAAUUACAGGAUCGGUCACGAGUAUUCAGGCGGAGACCAGCCUGGCUCACCGACUGGUGAAUCGUGAAGGCUCUGUAACACAGCUUCCACUCUACACUUCUCCUUCUUUGCCCAACAUCACACUAGGACUGCCUGCAACUGGCCCUUCCAGCGGAGGAUCAGCACAGCAGGAUGCUGAGAGACUUGCUAUCCCAGCCUUGCAGCAGCGGAUCUCUUUAUUUCCUGGCACCCACCUCACUCCCUACUUGAGCACUACAACGUUGGAAAGAGAUGGGGGAACCGCACACAACCCUCUUCUGCAGCACAUGGUCUUACUGGAACAGCCAACUGCACAAACUCCCUUAGUCACAGACUGGUAUCUUUCAGGACUGCCCCUCCACGCACAGUCUCUGGUUGGUGGAGAACGGAUCUCCCCUUCAAUACACAAACUCCGGCAGCAUCGCCCACUGGGGCGCACGCAGUCUGCUCCCCUUCCACAGAACGCCCAAGCCCUCCAGCAGUUAGUGAUCCAGCAGCAGCACCAGCAGUUCUUGGAGAAACACAAACAGCAAUUCCAACAACAACAACUGCAUAUCAACAAGAUAAUAUCAAAACCCAACGAGCCAGCUCGCCAGCAUGAAAGCCACCCAGAGGAGACAGAAGAAGAGCUUCGAGAACACCAAGCCCUUUUGGAGGAGCCAUACAGUGACAGAGUGUCAAGCCAAAAGGAGGUCCCAGGGCUGGCCAGUAUGGUGCAGGUGAAGCAAGAACCCAUCGAGAGUGAUGAGGAGGAAGCUGAGCCGCAGCAGGAGCUGGAGUCUGGGCAGAGGCAGGCUGAGCAGGAGCUCCUCUUCCGCCAGCAAGCCCUCCUGUUGGAGCAGCAGCGCAUUCACCAGCUGAGAAACUACCAGGCAUCGCUGGAGGCAGCUGGCAUGCCAGUCUCCUUUGGGGGCCAUCGGCCUCUGUCCCGUGCACAGUCCUCACCUGCCUCGGCCACCUUCCCUAUGUCUGUACAGGAACCACCCACUAAGCCAAGGUUCACUACAGGCCUUGUCUAUGACACCUUGAUGCUGAAACAUCAGUGUACCUGUGGAAACACAAACAGCCACCCGGAGCAUGCAGGGAGGAUCCAGAGCAUCUGGUCCAGGCUGCAGGAGACAGGUCUCCGUGGCAAGUGCGAGUGCAUUCGUGGAAGAAAAGCAACUCUAGAAGAGCUGCAGACAGUUCACUCAGAAGCUCAUACACUGCUGUACGGCACAAACCCUCUGAACAGACAGAAACUGGACAGCAAGAAACUUCUAGGUUCUCUAACGUCGAUGUUUGUCAGGCUUCCUUGCGGUGGUGUCGGGGUCGACAGUGACACGAUCUGGAAUGAAGUUCACUCAUCUGGUGCUGCUCGCCUGGCUGUGGGCUGCGUCAUUGAGCUUGUUUUCAAAGUGGCCACAGGAGAACUGAAGAAUGGAUUUGCUGUUGUUCGACCUCCAGGUCACCAUGCAGAAGAAAGCACACCCAUGGGCUUCUGCUAUUUCAACUCCGUGGCAAUUGCAGCCAAGCUGCUCCAGCAGAGGCUGAAUGUUAGCAAAAUCCUCAUAGUGGACUGGGAUGUGCACCAUGGGAACGGUACUCAGCAAGCUUUCUACAAUGAUCCUAAUGUUCUUUAUAUUUCACUACAUCGCUAUGAUGAUGGGAACUUCUUUCCAGGCAGUGGUGCUCCUGAUGAGGUUGGCACAGGAGCAGGAGUUGGGUUCAAUGUUAACAUGGCCUUCACUGGAGGCCUUGAUCCACCGAUGGGAGACACAGAAUACUUAACUGCUUUCAGGACGGUCGUAAUGCCCAUUGCCAAUGAAUUUGCCCCAGAUGUUGUGCUGGUGUCAUCUGGUUUUGAUGCGGUAGAAGGCCAUCCUACGCCUCUGGGAGGAUAUAAUCUCUCUGCAAAAUGCUUUGGGUACCUGACGAAGCAGCUGAUGGGCCUGGCCGGAGGCCGCGUCGUCCUGGCCCUCGAAGGAGGCCACGACCUGACUGCCAUUUGCGAUGCCUCAGAAGCAUGUGUUUCUGCUUUGCUGGGAAACGAGGGAGGACAACCACAGUCAUCCUAAUGGCUGAGUCUCGGACUGGUACAGAUAGACUGCAAAAGUGCCUUGCAUUGAUUUUCUACCUAGGAAAAUUGUACUCUUCGCAGAGAAGCACAGACUUACUCAGCUGGAGCCAUGGACACAGUCCCUAUUUGUUACUUGCUGCACUUGUCCUGGUGUGUUUGGCACUCUGGACCUGCUCAAAGCGAUUGUUGAGGGUUGAUGACAUACAUAACAGCAGCACAAGGCUUCUCCUUUGGCUGUGUAUACUUAAGAAGUUCAGCUUUGUGUUGGAGGAUCCAUUCAGACUUGAAGUUGGAGGUGGCUUGGCUAGUGUGUUUGAAUUUUUUUUAGGUUGCCUUUUUAGUUUGCCUUCAGUACCCCGUGCUAUUGAGAAGUUUCAAAAGGCUGCAAUAAAUGGACACAAAGAGGCUGCUGAAGUGACUUCAGAACAGACCUCUGAAGGCAUUGGUCUCUUCUGCAAAGCAGGAGACCUUCCUGCCUGUUGGUGAAGAGAGGAGGUUCUUCUCAAAACUUUCACCUGCCGUGGAGAGAACAGCCAAGGCUCCCUUUGCUGAAGAAGCCCGAGUGCAGGAGCUGAUGGAAGCCCUGUAGUCAGCAUCUGAAGGUGCAGUAAGUAGCACAGAGAAGAGAAACCAAGCAGAAUUUCAGCUGUCAGUCUGCCUGUGGUGGGAGCUGACUGCAGGGACUGAUGGUGAGCCCUGGGCAGGCUUGCUGUGACUCAGUUCAGGUCAGUGAUGAGUGGCCUUUCUCUGGUCUGGGAAGCUGGAGCAGGGAGGUACAGAUUGCCUGUGUUCCCUGACUGCCAGCCUUUAGAAGGAGUGCUUUGUCUCUCAGUAUCCAAACUCUUUGUGAAGGAUGACAGUGCCUGAGGAAACCUCACCAACCAGUCUAAUACAUCAGCAGUGAAACAGCUGGGAUUCAUAAAAAGCAUCUGCUUCAGUCAUCCAGCAUCCCAUCUCCAACCAUCCAGAGAGUAUCCAUUCCUUGCGCUUGGCCAGACAGCUCUGAUAAGACAUUCAACAUAGGUAACCUGUCCAGCACACCAACCCGUGGGACAGACGAAAACUCAGGAGUCAGCAAGCAGAGGAAGAGCAGAGUUGAUGUAACAGCACUUAUGUCUCUUCAUCUGGCAGCGAUGGCACUGUUGUCAGCACGGAUGACCCCAUCAGCUCCACACAAAUGAGGACACAGCCAGCUCUAAUGGCAGGAUGCACUUUGAAGGAGAGACUGAGGAAAUAACAUGUGAAAGAUGUCAUUCCUCUCACAUAAUGUAGCACUGUGGUGCAGGCGGGUGGCUGCAAUGUGGGCUCGACCCUCUUCCAGAAAAAGUUCUCCAGCAGAGAGCAAAUGCUAAUGCGGUGCAUUCAAUGGAGAAAGUGAUUGAGAUACACAG